CCUGCAAAACGUUCUAUCGCUCCGUUUAGGCGGGGAGGAAAGUCCGGGCAACGCAGAGCAUCCUGCUUCCUAACGGGAAGGCGCCGGCAGCCGGCGACAGCAAGUGCCACAGAGAAUAUACCGCCCGCAAGGGUAAGGGUGAAAACGUGAGGUAAGAGCUCACGGCUUUUCCGGGCGACCGGGAUCGCGGUAAACCUCAGGAGUUGAAAGACCAAAUAGGUCCUGAUCAGUGAAGUUGCUCGCUUCCGUGCCGGUUUUACUAUCGGGCAUCAGGAUGGGUAGGUUGCUUACGAGCCUGUUAGCAAUGGCAGGCCCAGAUAAAUGAUAGAAGCCAUAAGCAAUUAUGGAACAGAACCCGGCUUAUAAUUUUGCUGCUGAU
rnacentral:RNase_P_RNA from 1 species